rnacentral:rRNA from 1 species
GAUGAACGCUGGCGGCGUGCCUAAUACAUGCAAGUCGAGCGAACAGAUGAGAAGCUUGCUUCUCUGACGUUAGCGGCGGACGGGUGAGUAACACGUGGAUAACCUACCUAUAAGACUGGGAUAACUUCGGGAAACCGGAGCUAAUACCGGAUAAUAUAUUGAACCGCAUGGUUCAAUAGUGAAAGACGGUCUUGCUGUCACUUAUAGAUGGAUCCGCGCUGCAUUAGCUAGUUGGUAAGGUAACGGCUUACCAAGGCAACGAUGCAUAGCCGACCUGAGAGGGUGAUCGGCCACACUGGAACUGAGACACGGUCCAGACUCCUACGGGAGGCAGCAGUAGGGAAUCUUCCGCAAUGGGCGAAAGCCUGACGGAGCAACGCCGCGUGAGUGAUGAAGGUCUUCGGAUCGUAAAACUCUGUUAUUAGGGAAGAACAAAUGUGUAAGUAACUGUGCACAUCUUGACGGUACCUAAUCAGAAAGCCACGGCUAACUACGUG